CGAGGAAGGCGCGGCACGACGAGAGGCGGGACCUUCGAGGCGAGGGAGGUGCGGAAGGUCGGCGGCUCUCGGGACUGGGGGACUGCGGAGAGGGUUUCCUGGUCGAAUCACAGUGAGAAGUGAACGGAGCAGCGCGUUUGAAAAGUGGUCUACGCUUCUGACGAGGGUCUGCGCUUGCCCCGCCCGGGAGAGGACGUUGGAUGUGGGAUGGGCGAACGCCUAGAGUGGGUGUCCGCCGCCGUCCGGGAAUGGACAAAGGCAUCACUUAUCCAUCUGUGAUGGGAGUGUUCCUGGUACAGCCACACUUGAAGGAAUUUGGGGGAAAAUGAAACAGAGAAUGAAGGGAGGCUUGAUGGAUGUUUGAGUUGGAAAGAAUGAAAAGAUAGAAGACUGAAGAAGCAGAUUGGAUGGAAUUGGAAUGUCCCGUCCCUACUCAACCCUGGCUCUCAUCUACCCUCUUCUCCACCCACCCCCAGCCUGACGCAGGCCACAGGCACAAAUGCCUGAUCAGGUUAUUCACCUUUGGAACCCAGCCACCAUUUUGUGAGGAAGCCCCAGACACAAGAAGAGACCACAUUUGAGUGUUCUGGCUGCUAGCCCCAGCUAAAAUUCCAAGUCACAGAAUCACCAGUCAUGUAAAUGAAAAGGCCUUCAGAUGGUUCUAAUUUCAGCCUUUGAGCUGUGCUACCUGAUACUGAGAUGAACUGUCUCUACUGACCCCAGUCAAAAUUGCAGAUC